CAGCGCCGCGGUAAGACAGAGGAUGCAAGCGUUAUCCGGAAUGAUUGGGCGUAAAGGGCUCGCAGGCGGUUUCUUAAGUCUGAUGUGAAAGCCCCCGGCUCAACCGGGGAGGGUCAUUGGAAACUGGGAAACUUGAGUGCAGAAGAGGAGAGUGGAAUUCCACGUGUAGCGGUGAAAUGCGUAGAGAUGUGGAGGAACACCAGUGGCGAAGGCGACUCUCUGGUCUGUAACUGACGCUGAGGAGCGAAAGCGUGGGGAGCGAACAGGAUUAGAUACCCCAGUAGUCCCUGUCUCUUAUCCA
rnacentral:rRNA from 1 species